rnacentral:lncRNA from 1 species
UUAGAUCCAAUAAAUUGUUAAUGCGUAACGAACCAGUCUACUAGCAAUAAUAAUGUUGGGUGCAAACCAUCGGUGGCCCAAAAUAUUUAAGUUCAGUUAUUAUUAAAAAGGUGUGUAGUUUCUUAUAUUUCUAAUCAGCAACGUAAAAUUUUAGAGAUGGCUUCUGCGGUCUCUGAUAUUAAAUAUAAUGACUCGACUGACUAACAAUAAUAACUCAACCGGUACUCGUCUCUGAUACCAAAUGCAACAGCUAAUGUCAACUCUUAAACAAACAAAUUUAGUAAAUCAUGUUUCACCCC